GACGAACGCUGGCGGCGUGCUUAACACAUGCAAGUCGAACGGAAAGGCCCUGCUUGCAGGGUACUCGAGUGGCGAACGGGUGAGUAACACGUGGGUGAUCUGCCCUGCACUUCGGGGUAAGCCUGGGAAACUGGGUCUAAUACCGGAUAGGAGCCAUUUUUAGUGUGAUGGUUGGAAAGUUUUUUCGGUGUAGGAUGAGCUCGCGGCCUAUCAGCUUGUUGGUGGGGUAAUGGCCUACCAAGGCGGCGACGGGUAGCCGGCCUGAGAGGGUGGACGGCCACAUUGGGACUGAGAUACGGCCCAGACUCCUACGGGAGGCAGCAGUGGGGAAUAUUGCACAAUGGGCGCAAGCCUGAUGCGGCGACGCCGCGUGGGGGAUGACGGCCUUCGGGUUGUAAACUCCUUUCGCUAGGGACGAAGCUUUUUGUGACGGUACCUAGAUAAGAAGCACCGGCUAACUACGUG
rnacentral:rRNA from 1 species